GUGAUGCUAACUGUCAGGUGUUCGUGGAUGAAAUAGGUGGUUUGAAGAAUGGGAGGAGGUGGGGGCAGUGAGAGCAAGAAAAAACGUUUUCCCACACAAAACAUUGGUAUCCCAUAAAGCAAACAGACACUCCAAAUAGAUAGAGAUCACGUUGCCACAGGGAACUGUUAACUGUUUACCGGGAUGGAGUUACCGCUGUCCGGGAGUUGCAGGAAAGCGGUACCAGGUGGGAUGUACUCUGGGCAAGGGUCAGCACCCGGAUCGCAUUUGCUUUCAGUUCUUUGUGGGAGACGGAUGCAGGUCCGGACAACCUCACCUGCCAUUCAGCAAGCAGCAAGAAGGGGCGGCGAUACAGGAACCUCCACUGGGAGAAGUUUGCGGGAAGACAAAUAGGUGGAGAAGAUCAAGACGUGGUUCCGUUUUCAGAUGGCCCUGCAACCCAUGGAUUCUUGUGUCCACAGAAUAAAGUGAAUGAGAAUUCAAUAAGAAGAGCCAAGACAAAGAAGAUAGCUUCAGCCCGGAGAAGAAUCAUCCAUCCAGAUAUCAACCACUCAACCCACAGAUAGCAUCUCCAACACUGUUGAGGACUGAACGUUCCUUUGUUUGUGUUCCUUUGACUAAACCAAGUGUGACGAUGCUCUGUGUGUGUUUGUGUCAGACCACACAUUGAGAAGGGUUCUGCUCUGGUUACAGCUAUGAGAGUUGUGCAACCAUCAAAGGUCAUCAUCUCUUAACAGCUACAAGGCUGAGACCCCCGGUAGCAUAAGAAGAUGGGAUGUCGUAGGAUGUCAGAUACUGAGGCAGGAUGGCUUUGGUCAGCUCUCCGAGAUGGACUCGCAUUCAACAAGGGGGAAGUCUGCCUUGAGUCCUGCACUCCUGGAAUAGGCUCAGGACCAUCUGCACUGGACAAGCGGUACAUGAAAAUUAAAAAACACCAUGUAGUUUUUAACUGAACAAGCAGCUGCUCUGAAAUAGGUAAAUAGCUGAAGAUAGUUAUAAUUAGCGGUAGUGCAAAAAAAAUAAACACCCCAAAAGACCACCA
rnacentral:lncRNA from 1 species